rnacentral:rRNA from 1 species
CGGAGGAUCCAAGCGUUAUCCGGAAUCAUUGGGUUUAAAGGGUCCGUAGGCGGUUUGUUAAGUCAGUGGUGAAAUCUGGCCGCUCAACGAUCAAACGGCCAUUGAUACUGACAGACUUGAAUUAUUGGGAAGUAACUAGAAUAUGUAGUGUAGCGGUGAGAUGCUUAGAUAUUACAUGGAAUACCAAUUGCGAAGGCAGGUUACUAUCAAUAUAUUGACGCUGAUGGACGAAAGCGUGGGGAGCGAACAGGAUUAGAUACCCUGGUAGUCCACGCCGUAAACGAUGGAUACUAGCUGUUGGGAGCAAUUUCAGUGGCUAAGCGAAAGUGAUAAGUAUCCCACCUGGGGAGUACGUUCGCAAGAAUG